rnacentral:lncRNA from 1 species
CAACAUGCUGUCCUGGCUAGCUAAAGUGUUUAUGAAUGCAAGAAAAUUUUUGAAAAGGGAAUUUGAAAUUUAACUCCACAAACUACUAUCUGGACUGGAAUGCUACAUUAAAUGUAUUAUAAUUUUGUAUUGAGUUAUAGGGAUGGGAAAUGAAAAGGAUCCAAGGCCAUAUGUUGAUAUUCUUUUGAUACGUUAAGAAAUAAUCUAGUGUUAUUUUCUAUUUCUUCUUAAAUGUUUUUAGAGGUUACUUGGUACAGUGGUCGACAAAACGUUGAAAUGUUGAUGUUUAAGGGCUGUUGAUUGCUGGCAGCAAAGAAGUCCAACUG